UGAUUAUAAAUCUCCGUUUGGCUCGAAUGUUUGUGAUUUGAUCUGGUCCGGAUAGGGGAUGAGACGUUUGCGCAGAUCUGGCUGACGUAGUGCACAGAGAGCAGUGGUCCCGGCGUUCGGUCGGGUGAUAGUGGCGGCUGCUUGAUCGCCGUCGGUGAUCGGAUCCCGGCGUUGCCGGCAAAUGGCCGUCCGUCUGGAUUAACGCCCUUACGCGGCUGCUGAGUCCGGGCCGCCCUGAACCACCUUACAGCAAUGAGCUGGAUUUUCCCGUUGUCAAAAGGCGGCGGCAGCAGCGGUCACCUGCCGCCUCUCACCAACUUGCAGCAGCAGCGCCAGCGGCAGAUCGAGUCGGUGAAGAGCUCGCACAGUGGUGUAGUGGAAAUACAGAAGGAUGUGGAAUACAGACUGCCUUUUACAGCAAACAAUAAAACAAUCAAUUUAAACAUCUUGCUUCCUCCUCAGUUUCCGCAAGAAAAGCCUGUGGUUUCGGUCUUCCCUCCAGUGCGGCAUCAUUUGGUGGACAAGCAGAUGGGUACAAUGGUGACAAGCCCAAUGAUUACAAAUUUCACAAUGCAUUCAGACCUUGGAAAAAUUAUUCAGACAAUCCUCGAUGAAUUUUGGAAGAACCCUCCAGUGUUAGCUUCCAGUUCAUCAUCCUUUCCGUACUGUUUCAGUAGCCCUGCUGGAAUGGCUCCUUACCCUCCCCAAGGAUUUCCAUAUAUUGGCCCCUAUCCUACUCAGGAGUCGACUGUGCCUUGUAUUGUGGAUUCAGGCCCUGGCUUUAAUAGUCCCAAACCUGCUGCUCCUGCUUAUGGAUUGAUUACAGAUUUGCCUUUACCAGUUCCCACAACUGACUCAUCAGAACAGUUAGGUUUGAAUGGCCAUAGUUACAAGAUGCCAGAUCUACCUGACCACUUCUCAGAGCUCCACGAAUUUAGUAACUCGCAGUUGACUGAUUUGAAUGAAAAUGAGGAUCUGCUCCUGGGGCACUUCAUGGGUUUGCAACAACUGAAGCAGAUAUGCACUGACAAAGAUGAUCUGGUUAACUACAUUGAAGAGCUAGCAAAAAGAAAUCUUCAACUUGAACCUCAUUUGGAAACAGAAAGACAAGAUUUAUUAGAUAAAUAUGAUCAACUAACUCAGCUCAAAAGCACCUUUGAAAAAAAGAUGCAAAGACAGCAUGAACUGAGUGAGAGCUGCGGCUUAAGUGCCCUGCAGGCCAGGUUGAAAGUUGCAGCUCAUCAAGCAGAAGAGGAAUCGGAAGUGAUUGCUGAAGAAUUCCUUGAGGGCAAGGUUGAGAUUGAUGACUUCCUCAGCAGCUUCAUGGAAAAAAGAACACUUUGUCAUUGCAGGCGAGCUAAAGAAGAGAAGCUUCAGCAUUUGAUGACACAACGUGGGCAAUUUCACACACUAUAGCUUUAUAGUUGACAUUACAGUUGAGAUACCGGCGCUGGGCAAGAUGGAAUAUGUUGAACCUACCAAGUGAAAAUUAAUUGCAUCAAAAUGCAUAUGCUGCUUGACCCACUGAGUUCCUCCAGCAGUUUGUUUGUUGCUCCAGAUUCCAGCAUCUGCAGUCUCUUGCGUCUCCACUGAGAAUCUUAAUCCUGGCAGAAAAGUUUUUAAAAAAAG